UGGGGAAUAUUGGACAAUGGGGGGAACCCUGAUCCAGCCAUGCCGCGUGUGUGAAGAAGGCCUUAUGGUUGUAAAGCACUUUAAGCGAGGAGGAGGGUACUGGUAUUAAUACUACCAGGUACUGGACGUUACUCGCAGAAUAAGCACCGGCUAACUCUGUGCCAGCAGCCGCGGUAAUACAGAGGGUGCAAGCGUUAAUCGGAAUUACUGGGCGUAAAGUGCGCGUAGGUGGUUCGUUAAGUUGAAUGUGAAAGCCCCGGGCUCAACCUGGGAACUGCAUCCAAAACUGGCGAGCUAGAGUAGGGCAGAGGGUGGUGGAAUUUCCUGUGUAGCGGUGAAAUGCGUAGAUAUAGGAAGGAACACCAGUGGCGAAGGCGACCACCUGGGCUCAUACUGACACUGAGGUGCGAAAGCGUGGGGAGCAAACAGG
rnacentral:rRNA from 1 species